UAGGGAAUAUUGGGCAAUGGACGCAAGUCUGACCCAGCCAUGCCGCGUGCAGGAUGAAUGUCCUAUGGAUUGUAAACUGCUUUUCUACGGGAAGAAACCCCAGGAUGCGUUCUGGGCUGACGGUACUGUAGGAAUAAGGAUCGGCUAACUUCGUGCCAGCAGCCGCGGUAAGACGAAGGAUUCAAGCGUUGUCCGGAUUUACUGGGUUUAAAGGGUGCGUAGGCGGAACUUUAAGUCAGUGGUGAAAGCUCUCGGCUCAACCGAGAAAUUGCCAUUGAAACUGAUUUUCUUGAAUACAGUUGAGGUAGAUGGAAUAUAACAUGUAGCGGUGAAAUGCUUAGAUAUGUUAUAGAACACCAAUUGCGAAGGCAGUCUGCUAAGCUGUUAUUGACGCUGAGGCACGAAAGCGUGGGGAGCAAA
rnacentral:rRNA from 1 species